UACGUAGGCAGCGAGCGUUGUUCGGAGUUACUGGGCGUAAAGGGUGUGUAGGCGGUUGUUUAAGUUUGGUGUGAAAUCUCCCGGCUCAACUGGGGAGGGUGCGCCGAAUACUGAAUGACUUGGAGUGCGGGAGAGGAAAGUGGAAUUCCUGGUGUAGCGGUGAAAUGCGUAGAUAUCAGGAGGAACACCGGUGGCGAAGGCGGGUCUCUGGGCCGUUACUGACGCUGAGGAGCGAAAGCGUGGGGAGCGAACAGG
rnacentral:rRNA from 1 species